rnacentral:lncRNA from 1 species
GGCUUUUACUUCUGAUAAGCUCCAAUGUGUGUUUAAUGAAUACAAAGCCGCGGUCUGGGUGCCGCCUCGGCCGCGGCCGCUCUCCCGCGCUCCUUUGCCAGAAGAAAAGAUUGAUCUCUGGGCUGGUGAACAUAAUCUCUGUCCCAGUCAGAAAAGGAGAGAGGAAAUUAGCAGAGCGAUUGGUGGAGAAUGAUAUCUGUCAAAAGAAACACUUGGAGAGCACUGAGUUUAGUAAUAGGUGACUGCCGGAAAAAAGGGAACUUUGAAUAUUGUCAAGAUAAACCCCACUUGAAAAACUGAGGUGCUUAAGGAGUAAAAUAAUAUGUUCCUGGUGGCAUCCUCCAGAUCGUACUGAGAAGCACUCCACAAUGCCAGACUCACCUGUGGAUGUGAAGACGCAAUCUAGGCUGACUCCUCCAACAAUGCCACCUCCCCCAACUACUCAAGGAGCUCCAAGAACCAGUUCAUUUACACCGACAACGUUAACUAAUGGCACGAGCCAUUCUCCUACAGCCUUGAAUGGCGCCCCCUCACCACCCAAUGGCUUCAGCAAUGGG